CAGAGAAAGAAAGGAUUUUAAAGGCUGGUGGUUUUAUACAUGCAGGACGUGUCAAUGGCAGUUUGAAUCUUUCAAGAGCUAUAGGGGACAUGGAAUUCAGGCAGAAUACAGUUUUGCCUGCUGAAAAGUAAAUUGUAUCCGCAAAUCCAGAUAUAAACACCGUUGAGCUCUGUGAAGAUGAUGAGUUUCUUGUGCUGCCAUGUGAUGGAAUCUGGUAUAUUUAUCUAAUGCUUUUUCCAUUUAGAUUCUAAUAUAAUUAGAAUUUAGUAUGCCUCACUUCAAAACUUGAUUGGUUAUACCCUUCGCAGUUCACUCUGACAAGAUCUCGAUCCUGAAUUUAAUAUCUAAUGCCUUUUCAUUUUCUUUUAUCAGGGAUUGUAUGUCAAGUCAGAUGGUAGUAGACUUUAUUCAUGAACGACUACAUUCUGAAAACAAGCUUUCCGUUAUUUGUCAGAGGGUACUCGACAGAUGCUUAGCACCAUCAACAGCCAAUGGCGAGGGUUGCGACAACAUGACCAUGAUCUUAGUGCAGUUCAAGAAACCAAUCAAGGCUGCCUCACCUGAAGAGCAGCAAUCCUCCCAUUUCAAAUCAGUUAACACUGAGUCGACGCCAGAGGUAAAUCGAGAAUAGUUGCAACUGUUGAUGGGAGGUACCUAAUCCUCUUUUCCAAUAAGAUUUGAGAACCCAUUUCUCAAAUAUAAAAUAUUGGAAUAUGCAUUUACAGAUGGCUUAGAGCAGGAUUGAAUUGAUGAGAUGAAAACAAUACAUAUAUGUUAAUAUGCUUUGUUUCCUGUUCUUAAAAAUAUACAAUCAUGUAAUUGGGGGUGUGGUGUGUCACAGCAAUACCACCAUGACAAUUUUAGUAAUAACAUUU